CCGGCGACCGGCGCACGGGUGAGUAACACGUAUGGAACCUGCCCGCAGCAGGGGGAUAAGCGGAAGAAAUUCCGUCUAAUACCGCGUAACAACGUUGGGAGGCAUCUCCCGAUGUUUAAAGAUUUAUCGGCUGCGGAUGGCCAUGCGGCGCAUUAGCUAGUCGGCGGGGUAACGGCCCACCGAGGCGACGAUGCGUAGGGGUUCUGAGAGGAAGGUCUCCCACACUGGUACUGAGACACGGACCAGACUCCUACGGAAGGCAGCAG
rnacentral:rRNA from 1 species